AUGGCAGCAGGGGCGAGUCCCAGGGCUGACACGAUGGCCAGGAAGCCCUGUACCUCCCCUAAAUCCAUCCAGUUCCUGUUUGGGGCCUGGCUGAGAUGGGAGCUACAUGUUUGUGCAGCCCUUGGACCUGGUGAAGAACUGCAUGCUGUUGAGUGGGAAGGGGUGCCAAGACAAGAGAAUACAGAACCAGCUUCUAUGCCCUCACCAGCCUCCCUAAGGGGCAUUUAUACUAGGCUGUCUGCUGGCCUGUUGAACCAAGCAACCUAUACUACUACUCGCCUUGGCAUCUAUACUGUGCUGUUUGAGCACCUGACUGUGACAGAUGGUCCACACCCUGGCUUUCUGCUAAAGGCCUUGAUUGGCAUGACUGCAGGUGCAACUGGCACAUUGUGGGAACACCAUCUGAAGUGGCUCUUAUUUGAGUUACUGCUGAUGGCAGGCUUCCUGCUGACCAGCGCCGUGGCUACAAAAAUGUGUUUAAUGCCCUGAUUCGAAUUGCCCGAGAAGAGGGAAUUCCCACAUUGUGACGGGGCUGCAUUCCUGCCAUGGCUCAGGCUGUUGUUGUCAGUGCUGCCCAGCGGGCUUCACAUUCUCAGUGCAAGCAGUUCUUACUGGAUCCAGGCUAUUCCUUGGAUAAUAUUCCGUGCCACUUCUGUGCCAGCGUGAUCAGUGGCCUCGUCACGACUGCCGCCUCCAUGCCUGUGGACGUUAUCAAGACCUGGAUUCAGAACAUGUGAAUGAUUAACGGGAAGCCAGAAUACAAGAAUGGGCUGGAUGUGCUGGUGAAAGUCGUGUGCUAUGAGGGAUUCUUCAGCCUCUGGAAGGGUUCACGCCGUACUAUGCCCGCCUGGACCCCACACAGUCCUCACCUUCAUCUUCUUGGAGCAGAUGAACAAGGUCUACAAGCAUCUCUUCCUCAGUGGCUGA